UGAGCAAUCUGCCCUUCUCAUCGGAAUAAGCGUUGGAAACGACGUCUAAUGCCGAAUACGACCUCCUUUCGCAUGAUCGGAGGUGGAAAGCUCCGGCGGAGAAGGAUGAGCUCGCGGCCUAUCAGCUUGUUGGUGAGGUAAUGGCUUACCAAGGCGACGACGGGUAGCCGGCCUGAGAGGGCGACCGGCCACACUGGGACUGAGACACGGCCCAGACUCCUACGGGAGCAG
rnacentral:rRNA from 1 species